AUCUUGUGACAGCUUCUGGAGCUUGACUUUGCUGCUCAGUGCCAUGAGAAGCUGGAUCCUGCAGGAGAGGUUCAGGUUGUGCUCUCUUCUCAAGACUUUUUGUUUCUUUUCCGAUUUUGAUUUAUUAAGAAAAAAAGAUAAAUUUUUAAAUUAAAAAUGGCAAAAAACACUAAAAACAAAAGCAAUAAAGCAAAAGAAAAUAAUUAAAGCACAGAGGUUCGAAUGAGAAAGCACAGACUGUGUGUCUGCACUGAGGAGAAGCGCAAGGCUUGAUAGCUGCCUUGUAAUGGGCUGUCGCUGCACUCAACAUGCCAGGUUUCACCAGCACGCCUCUAGAAAUGCAGAGUCAAAGCAUCAGCAUUUGAAGGUCUAGUUUAAAUCAUGCAUGUUAUUUCCAGUUGCUUUUAGUCCAAAAAACAGACCUUUCCUCUCCUUUGGAAAAGAAACAAGAUGACAAAACAAAGCCCCAGCACGUUCCUGAAGGGAUUAAACAAGACAGUCUUUCAUGAAGAAAGUGUUAUGAGGAAAACCAGCUAUUUCUGAUGAGCUCUGGCUCUGGGGAUUAUAGCACCUUUUAUCUAAGGGACAGAAAACAUUUCAGUUCUGGCAGAGAACUUCUUGGCUCUCACUGUUGAUUCCUUCAGAGCUACUGAUUCUUUCUUUAGAGUAAACAGGGAGCUGAAGCACCUCACAUGAGCGCUCUGCAGCUUUUCCCACCUUCCAGCAACAUCUCUGUUGCCUCAAGGAACUCCUGAAGUGGCCUUUUUAACUCCAGGGCACAACACAUAAAAAGAAAACAGAUACAUUUACUCCUCUCCAGUGCUUGCCAGAAACACUAAGUAUGCCUCUCCAUGUGAAGGAGAAACAGAAAGAAUUAGCAGAAUACAAGAGGGAAGUGAAGAACACAGGUGGAUGUAAACCUGCUCCACUAUUGCUUUGGACCCCUUAGUCCUUCAGCACUGCUGAAAAUGAAAGAUGUGACCCAACGUAGAAAGGUUAUCUUCUAGCAAUAACAAUGCAGAUGUCCUAAGCUGCUACUUUAUUGAGGACUUUUUUGUAUUGGCAUUUGUUCAUUAUCACACCAGUUAGGAACACAAUAUAACACAUGAAUAGCUAGUGCAGAUGUUGAAAUAAUGUGUAUUCUGUCCCAUCCUAUGCUGUUUCCUCCAUCUGCAUCAUAUAUGCAGAAUAAAGAUUGCAUUUGAGUG
rnacentral:lncRNA from 7 species